rnacentral:rRNA from 1 species
ACGGGGCCGCACAAGCGGAGGAGCAUGUGGUUUAAUUCGAUGAUACGCGAGGAACCUUACCUGGGCUCGGAAACGUAAGAUGACUGGUAGGUAGAAAGCUUACAUCUCUUCGGAGCUAUUUUACGAGGUGCUGCAUGGUUGUCGUCAGCUCGUGCCGUGAGGUGUCGGGUUAAGUCCCAUAACGAGCGCAACCCCUACCUUUAGUUGCCAUCAGGUAAUGCUGGGGACUCUAAAGGAACUGCCUACGCAAGUAGUGAGGAAGGCGGGGAUGACGUCAAAUCAGCACGGCCCUUACGUCCAGGGCUACACACGUGCUACAAUGGCCGAUACAGAGGGCAGCUACCUGGUGACAGGAUGCAAAUCUCCAAAGUCGGUCUCAGUUCGGAUCGGAGUCUGCAACCCGACUCCGUGAAGUUGGAUUCGCUAGUAAUCGCGCAUCAGCCAUGGCGCGGUGAAUACGUUCCCGGGCCUU